ACUGUGGAGCGUCAUACAAACCAAAGUAGCCAAGGCAAAAUGGGACGCUACGAAGCAGUAA
rnacentral:ncRNA from 12 species